AACACUAAUUGCUCCCGUAAGUCGCUCUGGAUAAGAGCGUCUGCUAAAUGACUAAAA
rfam:Salmo salar isolate Sally breed double haploid chromosome ssa01, whole genome shotgun sequence.